rnacentral:rRNA from 1 species
GCCUAACACAUGCAAGUCGAACGGUAACAGGAAGAAGCUUGCUUCUUUGCUGACGAGUGGCGGACGGGUGAGUAAUGUCUGGGAAACUGCCUGAUGGAGGGGGAUAACUACUGGAAACGGUAGCUAAUACCGCAUAACGUCGCAAGACCAAAGAGGGGGACCUUCGGGCCUCUUGCCAUCGGAUGUGCCCAGAUGGGAUUAGCUAGUAGGUGGGGUAACGGCUCACCUAGGCGACGAUCCCUAGCUGGUCUGAGAGGAUGACCAGCCACACUGGAACUGAGACACGGUCCAGACUCCUACGGGAGGCAGCAGUGGGGAAUAUUGCACAAUGGGCGCAAGCCUGAUGCAGCCAUGCCGCGUGUAUGAAGAAGGCCUUCGGGUUGUAAAGUACUUUCAGCGGGGAGGAAGGGAGUAAAGUUAAUACCUUUGCUCAUUGACGUUACCCGCAGAAGAAGCACCGGCUAACUCCGUGCCAGCAGCCGCGGUAAUACGGAGGGUGCAAGCGUUAAUCGGAAUUACUGGGCGUAAAGCGCACGCAGGCGGUUUGUUAAGUCAGAUGUGAAAUCCCCGGGCUCAACCUGGGAACUGCAUCUGAUACUGGCAAGCUUGAGUCUCGUAGAGGGGGGUAGAAUUCCAGGUGUAGCGGUGAAAUGCGUAGAGAUCUGGAGGAAUACCGGUGGCGAAGGCGGCCCCCUGGACGAAGACUGACGCUCAGGUGCGAAAGCGUGGGGAGCAAACAGGGUUAGAUACCCUGGUAGUCCACGCCGUAAACGAUGUCGACUUGGAGGUUGUGCCCUUGAGGCGUGGCUUCCGGAGCUAACGCGUUAAGUCGACCGCCUGGGGAGUACGGCCGCAAGGUUAAAACUCAAAUGAAUUGACGGGGGCCCGCACAAGCGGUGGAGCAUGUGGUUUAAUUCGAUGCAACGCGAAGAACCUUACCUGGUCUUGACAUCCACGGAAGUUUUCAGAGAUGAGAAUGUGCCUUCGGGAACCGUGAGACAGGUGCUGCAUGGCUGUCGUCAGCUCGUGUUGUGAAAUGUUGGGUUAAGUCCCGCAACGAGCGCAACCCUUAUCCUUUGUUGCCAGCGGUCCGGCCGGGAACUCAAAGGAGACUGCCAGUGAUAAACUGGAGGAAGGUGGGGAUGACGUCAAGUCAUCAUGGCCCUUACGACCAGGGCUACACACGUGCUACAAUGGCGCAUACAAAGAGAAGCGACCUCGCGAGAGCAAGCGGACCUCAUAAAGUGCGUCGUAGUCCGGAUUGGAGUCUGCAACUCGACUCCAUGAAGUCGGAAUCGCUAGUAAUCGUGGAUCAGAAUGCCACGGUGAAUACGUUCCCGGGCCUUGUACACACCGCCCGUCACACCAUGGGAGUGGGUUGCAAAAGAAGUAGGUAGCUUAACCUUCGGGAGGGCGCUUACCACUUUGUGAUUCAUGACUGGGGUGAAGUCAUAACA